UCCGAGUUGACCCCGGCAGUCUCCUAUGAGUCCCCGGCCGAACCGCUGGCAACAUAGGACAAGGGUUGCGCUCGUUGCGGGACUUAACCCAACAUCUCACGACACGAGCUGACGACAGCCAUGCACCACCUGUACGGGACCCUUUAAAGGACCCACCAUCUCUGAUGGAUUUCCCCGCAUGUCAAGCCCUGGUAAGGUUCUUCGCGUUGCAUCGAAUUAAGCCACAUGCUCCGCCGCUUGUGCGGGCCCCCGUCAAUUCCUUUGAGCUUUAGCCUUGCGGCCGUACUCCCCAGGCGGGGCGCUUAAUGCGUUAGCUCCGGCACGGAACCCGUGGAAACAGGCCCCACACCUAGCGCCCAACGUUUACGGCGUGGACUAC
rnacentral:misc_RNA from 1 species